GAUGAACGCUGGCGGCGUGCCUAAUACAUGCAAGUCGAGCGAACAGACGAGGAGCUUGCUCCUUCGACGUUAGCGGCGGACGGGUGAGUAACACGUAGAUAACCUACCUAUAAGACGGGGAUAACUUCGGGAAACCGGAGCUAAUACCGGAUAAUAUUUCGAACCGCAUGGUUCGAUAGUGAAAGAUGGCUUUGCUAUCACUUAUAGAUGGACCUGCGCCGUAUUGGCUAGUUGGUAAGGUAACGGCUUACCAAGGCAACGAUACGUAGCCGACCUGAGAGGGUGAUCGCCCACACUGGAACUGAGACACGGUCCAGACGCCUACGGGAGGCAGCAGUAGGGAAUGUUCCGCAAUGGGCGAAAGCCUUACGGAGCAACGCCGAGUGAGUGAUGAAGGUCUUCGGAUCGUAAAACUCUGUUAUUAGGGAAGAACAAACGUGUAAGUAACUGUGCACGUCUUGACGGUACCUAAUCAGAAAGCCACGGCUAACUACGUG
rnacentral:rRNA from 1 species